rnacentral:tRNA from 5 species
GCCCCUGUCGUUCAAUGGACAGGACGAGAGUUUCCUAAACUCUAAAUCUAGGUCCGAUUCCUAGCAGGGGCACUA